UGGCGCAGCUUGGUUAGCGCGCUUGACUGGGGGUCAAGAGGUCGCCGGUUCAAAUCCGG
rnacentral:tRNA from 1 species